rnacentral:rRNA from 1 species
GGAGGAAAGUAGGGGAUCGCAAGACCUUGCGCUUUUAGAGCGGCCGAUGUCUGAUUAGCUAGUUGGUGAGGUAAAGGCUUACCAAGGCGUCGAUCAGUAGCUGGUCUGAGAGGACGACCAGCCACACUGGGACUGAGACACGGCCCAGACUCCUACGGGAGGCAGCAGUGGGGAAUUUUGGACAAUGGGGGAAACCCUGAUCCAGCCAUGCCGCGUGAGUGAAGAAGGCCUUCGGGUUGUAAAGCUCUUUCAGCCGGAACGAAACGGUCACGGCUAAUACCUGUGAUCACUGACGGUACCGGAAGAAGAAGCACCGGCUAACUACGUGCCAGCAGCCGCGGUAAUACGUAGGGUGCGAGCGUUAAUCGGAAUUACUGGGCGUAAAGCGUGCGCAGGCGGUUUUGUAAGUCAGAUGUGAAAUCCCCGGGCUUAACCUGGGAACUGCGUUUGAAACUACAAAGCUAG